rnacentral:rRNA from 1 species
AUUGAACGCUGGCGGCAGGCCUAACACAUGCAAGUCGAGCGGAUGAAGGGAGCUUGCUCCUGGAUUCAGCGGCGGACGGGUGAGUAAUGCCUAGGAAUCUGCCUGGUAGUGGGGGAUAACGUCCGGAAACGGGCGCUAAUACCGCAUACGUCCUGAGGGAGAAAGUGGGGGAUCUUCGGACCUCACGCUAUCAGAUGAGCCUAGGUCGGAUUAGCUAGUUGGUGGGGUAAAGGCCUACCAAGGCGACGAUCCGUAACUGGUCUGAGAGGAUGAUCAGUCACACUGGAACUGAGACACGGUCCAGACUCCUACGGGAGGCAGCAGUGGGGAAUAUUGGACAAAGGGCGAAGGCCUGAUCCAGCCAUGCCGCGUGUGUGAAGAAGGUCUUCGGAUUGUAAAGCAUUUUAAGUUGGGAGGAAGGGCAGUAAGUUAAUACCUUGCUGUUUUGACGUUACCAACAGAAUAAGCACCGGCUAACUUCGUG